rnacentral:sRNA from 1 species
GCAUUUCUGCAUUCGAAGAAGAACCUGAGAGAAACCUGCUGCUUUCACAGAGGAAGGCAUUUGCUGGCUUUCCCAAGGCAAGAACAAUGAAAACAAAGUCAUGAGGAGUUCUCUCUACCUCAAAUGAAGGCCGCAGCUCCUGCUCAAGCUAUUUUGGCAGUCUGAGAGAACAGUACAUUCUGAACCACAUUGACGCAGGGAGCAUGGGUAUCUGGACCUCAGGCACUGAUAUCUUCCUAAGUCUUUGGGAGAUUUACGUGUCUCCAAGAAGCCCCGGAUGGAUGGACUUUAUCCAGCAUUUGGGAGUUUGCUGUUUGGUUGCUCUUAUUUCAGUGGGCCUCCUGUCUGUGGCCUUCUGCUGGUUUCUGUCAUCAAUCAUAGCGGCCGCUGCCUCCUGGAUUAUCACGUGUGUUCUGCUGUGUUGCUCCAAGCAUGCACGAUGUUUUAUUCUUCUUGUCUUUCUCUCUUGUGGCCUGCGUGAAGGCAGGAAUGCUUUGAUUGCAGCUGGCACAGGGAUCGUCAUCUUGGGACACGUAGAAAAUAUUUUUCACAACUUUAAAGGUCUCCUAGAUGGUAUGACUU